GACGAACGCUGGCGGCGUGCUUAACACAUGCAAGUCGAACGGAAAGGCCCUGCUUUUGUGGGGUGCUCGAGUGGCGAACGGGUGAGUAACACGUGAGUAACCUGCCCUUGACUUUGGGAUAACUUCAGGAAACUGGGGCUAAUACCGGAUAGGAGCUCCUGCUGCAUGGAGGGGGUUGGAAAGUUUCGGCGGUUGGGGAUGGACUCGCGGCUUAUCAGCUUGUUGGUGGGGUAGUGGCUUACCAAGGCUUUGACGGGUAGCCGGCCGGAGAGGGUGACCGGCCACAUUGGGACUGAGAUACGGCCCAGACUCCUACGGGAGGCAGCAGUGGGGAAUAUUGCACAAUGGGCGGAAGCCUGAUGCAGCAACGCCGCGUGCGUGAUGACGGCCUUCGGGUUGUAAACCGCUUUCGCCUGUGACGAAGCGUGAGUGACGGUAAUGGGUAAAGAAGCACCGGCCAACUACGUG
rnacentral:rRNA from 1 species